GGGUGAUAAACUUCAUCUAAGGCUAAAUACGGCCACGAAACCGAUAGCAAACAAGUACCGUGAGGGAAAGUUGCAAAGCACUUUGAAGAGAGAGUUCAAGAGUACGUGAAACCGCUGAGAUGGAAACGGAGAGAGUUGACGAAAGCUGGUGCUAUUCAACUGUGUCGCACAAUCGCGUCGGGGCAUGGCUACCCCUCUGGGGAGCUUGUCUUGGCGGUCAGAUGUGUGGCGCGUGCAUUUGGCACCAGUGUGCGCUGAGGGCCUUGACUGGGAGCUUCGAACCGCAGUGUGUUGCCCACUCCGGUGGUGUCUUGCACGUGGCUAGGAGCACUUGGCUAGGGUUAGCUGCCAAAGCCGGCUCGCUUGGCGUCUGUCGUGGCGUCGCUUUGCGUGCCUCGAGGGCGGUCGUCGAAAGGCGACAGGCCUUCGUGUUGCGUGAGGUGGCGUGGCACGGACGUGGUUCGGCUUGUUCCUCGGUGUGACCGUCGACCACCCCUCCGACCCGUCUUGAAACACGGACCAAGAAGUCUAGCAUAUCCGCGAGUCAUUGGGUGGUAAACCUAAAGGCGUAAUGAAAGUAAAGGUGGCUCGAUCCACUGAUAUGGGAUCCGUACGUGAGAGCGUGCGGCGCACCAUAGCCCCGUCCCGUAGGCUUGCCUUGGGGCGGAGGUAGAGCGAAUAUGCUGGGACCCGAAAGAUGGUGAACUAUGCCUGAG
rnacentral:rRNA from 1 species